CCUACGGGAGGCAGCAGUGGGGAAUAUUGCGCAAUGGGCGAAAGCCUGACGCAGCGACGCCGCGUGAGGGAUGAAGGUCUUCGGAUCGUAAACCUCUGUCAGCAGGGACGAACGGUCUCUCUGCUAAUCAGUAGUGAAUUUACGGUACCUGCAAGGGAAGCACCGCCUAACUCCGUCCGAGCAGCCGCGGUAACGUGAAGGGUGCGUGCGUGAAUCGGAAUGACUGGGCGUAAAGCGCGCGUAGACGGGAUGUCAAGUCACUGGUGAAAGGCCCGUGCUCAACGUGAGAAUUGCAUUUGAAACUGGCAAGCGUGAGUACAGGAGAGGAAAGUGGAAUUCCAGGUGUAGCAGUGAAAUGCGUAGAUAUCAGGAAGAACACCAGUGGCGAAGGCGACUUUCUGGAACGUAACUGACGCUGAGGCGCGAAAGCGUGGGUAGCAAACAGGAUUAGAUACCCCAGUAGUC
rnacentral:rRNA from 1 species